CUACGGGUGGCAGCAGUGGGGAAUAUUGCACAAUGGGCGCAAGCCUGAUGCAGCCAUGCCGCGUGUGUGAAGAAGGCCUUCGGGUUGUAAAGCACUUUCAGCGGGGAGGAAGGCGUUAAGGUUAAUAACCUUGGCGAUUGACGUUACCCGCAGAAGAAGCACCGGCUAACUCCGUGCCAGCAGCCGCGGUAAUACGGAGGGUGCAAGCGUUAAUCGGAAUUACUGGGCGUAAAGCGCACGCAGGCGGGCUGUCAAGUCGGAUGUGAAAUCCCCGGGCUCAACCUGGGAACUGCAUUCGAAACUGGCAGGCUAGAGUCUUGUAGAGGGGGGUAGAAUUCCAGGUGUAGCGGUGAAAUGCGUAGAGAUCUGGAGGAAUACCGGUGGCGAAGGCGGCCCUCUGGACAAAGACUGACGCUCAGGUGCGAAAGCGUGGGGAGCAAACAGGAUUAGAUACCCUUGUAGUC
rnacentral:rRNA from 1 species